GAGAAAUUAUUAUUAACACCUAUUAUAAAGGAAUUAAAUAUUUAAAUUUUUUUCACCAAUGUUUUUGAAAUGCCAUCCUUUUCGAGCACCAAAUUUAAAUUCUUUUAGUUUCCCCCCAUAUUCAAAUUUUAGAAAUAAAAUGACAAAAAUACCCCCACUUUAAAGUUUUCAUCCAUAUCCUAAUAAAUAAAAAUGAAAAAAAAAUUAAUAGCAUUUCCCCUUUCUGUUCAAACCUCUUUUUUUCUUCGUUAUAUCUUGCCCUGAAACUUCUAGAAGUGACCACCGCCCUCAAAUAAAAGAAUAUCAAUACCCAUUUGAACCUCAAAAGCGGGUCCAGAAUUUAUUCAGAGGGAACUGAUUCGGACACCAAGGUUCAUUCGUCUAAUAAAUCAAACAUUUACUAAUCUUCCACUUCAAAGUGAAGUAGUUGAAGUUCCCAAACAGGCCCUUAAAUUUAAAGCACAAAGCAUAAUCCCGAUUUACACAAAACCAAAAUUAACAAACAGGUUUAAAUUUCAGGAAUGAGUCCAAAGGAAGAAACCUACCAGACCUGUCGUACAAUGGAAACCUAUGGCCAAUUGGGAGGUUAAGGUAUUACAACACAAAUAAUUUUUAAAUUAAUCCAUAUAAAUAAGAAAAAGCAACAAAAUACAUAUAUAUCCCUUCCAAUCAAAGGCUUACAGUAAAAAAGUAGAAACAAGAAGUCACAAGGGGCAGCAUGGUGAAUUUUCCGCGAUAGCAGAAUCCCAGGAAAAAGGCAUCAUUGAGCGUAUCCUACACCAUGCACAUAAGACACAGGAACACUUGAACAUUUGUCAGCAUUAAAUAUGGAAAACAGUGAGCAUUCCUAAUUUCCUUCUACGGAUGAGACACAGGUUAGCUGAGUGUAAACUAGAAGAUAUCUUCACCAUGAAUUCAAUCCUCUACAUGCCACAUAUUCACAAUCUCUUAAAAUAUAUAUAUGAAAAACAAAUAAAAAAUAAUUUUCCAAUCUAUAUAAUUUCGUAUUCUUCACCAUGAACUUUUCAUUUCACUUUGGACCUUUAUUCUCCGAUCCACUUUAGGCUAUAUUGACAGUUCAGCUAAACGAGGUUCUCAAUAAUUGAGGGUAAGUAAAUGAGACAUUAAAAAAUUAAAGAAAUAGAAUAAUAAAAAUUUAUAAAAAUUAUUUUUAGUCGAUUAUUUGUGAAAGCAUGAAAAAAAAUUAAAUUAUUAAGAAAUACGUUUUGCUCCAGAAUUUUCAAUUUUGUAUAACAAAAAAUGAGGGGGAAAUUAUUUUUGAAUAUCUUUAACAUUAUUUUACUCAUCCUUGGAAACAUUAAAAAAAAAAAAAAGUAAUCCUUUUUUGUAUACUUUUCUCUCUAAACCAAACAAAGCAAACAUUUAACUAUUGAAAGAUGAUCUUAUAAUUAGUAUAGAAACUAUCUAUUAACAAAGAAUAAUUUAGAAUAGCUUUCCCCCUAAGAGCCAUUCUUACGAAAAGGCUUGGGUAGUUAAUGGGCAAUAUUUCUCCUUUGAACCCCACAUCUUCGAAGUCCACAAGCACUUUUCCAACCUUAUAAUCUUCUAGUCUAUGAAUGAACAACCGACAUUCUCAUUAAAAAAAGCCACUUAUCAUGUUUAAUUUCAAAUCACAACCAAAUAAUUUUUUUAAUAGAUUAGAUGACGUUGCAAACGAUCUACAACAAGAAAGUCUCGUAAGCUCGUCUCAUAAGGAAAUUUAAUAAACCAAACCAAAUACGACAAAAUAUCCUUUAAACCUGAUAUACUUGACCGUGCAUGACAUCUUAUAUCCUAUCGAUGACAUCGUAUCAAGUCCUACCACGAAUAACUCCCGACGUAUGGAAACAACCCCAACUACCAAGUUUUUUGUGAGGUGAGUGAAGUAAAAACUAAAGGUUGGAUCUUCAAGAUACACUCGGUUAGCUCUUCCUGAAAACUGGAUUUAGUCAAACGUUUUUUCAUAUACACAUAGGGAGGGGGAGGGGGAGGGGGAGAGAGGUGGAGGAGGGGGUUUAGGGCUGGUAAUAACAGCGGUUGAAGGGAUUUUAUUCUGCAAGCAGGAUUCCAGUAGAAGGAGAGGGUGAAGUGGUGCUGGUAUUAAUGGAGGCAGAAAAGAGAGAAUAGCAAUGACAAUAUCAAGAGUAAUAACAGUAUGAUACACGGAGACAACACUGAGAGGCCGCAAUUUCAGCACUAGGCAUGUCUAGUGAGGUAAUAAAAGCAGCUGUGAACACUGGUGGCAAAUGUGACAUUAGAAGCAAGAGGACAUCUUGUAUUGAUACUCUCCUCAUUCCUAAGAAUCCAAAACUUGGAAGAAGUGAUUAACUUAUGAAAUCCUUUGAUCAAACAUCUAUAUAAGAAAAAUAAAAAAUAAAAAAUGAAUUCCUUGGGCAUUAGUCCUCACAACUCACUGGGCUAUUCUAAAUAUUUUCCACGUCAUCACAUCAGAACAUGCUUCAUAUUUACAACAAGAAUUGGGGAAAACAAAAGAUCAGCAUCUAUAGCCAUGUGAAAAUUACAAACUUUCACAUAAAAAAUAAGCCAAAACUCUCAUUGCCAAGAAUCCAAAACUUGAAGAAAAGAUUUAACUUCUAAAACCUUUGAUCAAAGAUUCAUCUAAGAUGAAAAUAAGAGUGUUUUUGGUCUUUCUAACACUUGAAAAUUUUUAUUUUUCAAGUAUUAGAAAUGCUAAAAACACUUCUCAAAAUCACUAUCAAACAUACUCUAAAUAAAAAUGAACUUCUAGGGCAUUAGUCCGUUCUCACAACUCACUGGGCUAUUUUCCACAUCAUAGCAUCAGAACAUGCUUCAUAUUUACAAGGGGAAAACAAAAGAUCAUAAUCUAAAGCCUCUCUAGGUAUUAAUAUAGCCAUGAGAAAAUUACAAACUUCUCAUAAUAAAAAAUAAACCAAAUUCAACAGCAUCAAAUCCUCCGACUAUCCCAAGGAUGAACUAAAUCUAGAUAUUUGACAGUGUUUCUGUGAUUAUCAACAGUAUGAACAGAAUCUACAUGUUUGAUAUUGAAACAGUUUAUAUACUAAACAAUGAACGAGGAACAUCACCCGGCUCCCACAAUGUCGUGGACAAAUUGUGGCAAAGAUUGAUUGGUGAUAUGUCCUCAUUAAAUAUUCAUUUAUAGUUUACUUCUCCAAAACAAAAGAUCAAAUUAAAAAAAAUCUCUCUAAGAAGCAAAUAAAAACUUCCCUAUACCAUCCAAUCAACCUCAGCAACAUAAAUAAGAAGAGAGUUCCAUGCACCAGUGAGGAGCCAAGUGCAGUUUACCAUAUUUACACAAGAAAAAAAAUGUAGCAGGAACAGCAAACUACAGCGGUGUAGUUUUAUGAUGGUGGCAUAACUUAGAAAUGACAAGUUGGAUUAUGUUCCGCUGACCAUCACAGAAAGGAGAUACACUAACGAGUAAUAACAACUUUGAUGUUUGCAAAUGCAGUACAACAAAAUAAAAAGUUUUUGAACUACAAUAAACUCAUACCGUUCAUAGUAAGAUCUAGUACCAAAUGAUAUGACUUAGAUCAAAUUAUUGAUGUAUAAUGUGAACAAAGGAUAAUAAUUUGAUAUUUAGCAAGUUGAUUUCACAGUGAAAGAUUACAAUAUUUCAACAAAGGAUAAGAAGUAUCAACAUUUUUGUAAGAUUUGCGAAUCGCUUCUACUAAAUUAUGCUACCAUCAAGAGAAAAAUAACUAUGGCUCCAUUUGCGAAGUGUUUUUUAGAACAAUUUUGGAAAACAAUUUUUGAGACCAGUUUUCGAAAACAAACAUAUGAUGUUUUGUAAAAUGAAAGUUUGUUUUGGAAUGUGAAAUGUUUUUAACCUAUUUUCUAUGUUUCUAAAUAUAUUUUUAAAAAAAUUAUAUAAUAUCUUAUUUUUAAUCAUUCUCCAUAUUUUCAUAAUGAUUUUUUAAAACAAUUCUUAGAAAACAACUGAAAAUUAAGGUCUUAUUUGGAAACUAUUUUUAGGAACAGUUUUGAAGAACAUAGUGUUUUAUAAAAUAAAAGACUAUUUGGAAAUCUAAAAUGUUUUUAACUUGCUUUUAAUAUUUUUAAAUAUUUUUUUUUAAAAUUAUAUCUAAUGUUUUAUUUUUAAUUAUUCUACAUGUUUGUAUAAUUAUUUUUUUAUCACCCCCUCAAAAAACAAGUAAAAACAACUAAAAAAUGUUUUCUAAAAACAUCCUGUUUUAUGUUUUUAAGAACAAAAAACAUAAAAUAGUUUCUUUGUUACCAAACUGAUUUUCCUAUUUUUUUUUGUAGAAAAUAGAAAACCACUCUCAAAACAAUUGUCAAUCAGGCCCUCAAAGAUGUCAUCUAAAAACAACAUAUUUUCUAUUUUUAAGAUCAGAAAUUUGUUUUUUGUUUUCUAGUUGUGUUUAACAUAUUUUCUUUUCUUUGUUCUAAAGAAUAGAAAACAAUUACCAAGCAGGGUCUAUAGGAUUCUCGAGAAAUUACUCACAAUUGUAUUUUCCAAACAGCUUGCAAUGAAAAGGACAGAUAGCCGUUUGAGAGGUAAAAUUUAGCAAUAUUAAUGAACAUAACAAUUAGUAGACGGCAUGACUUGAUGGUCAUCCAGUACAUCAUUACCAUUACUUUACCAUGUAGACUGACAAUCGUGACCAACUACUGGGCCUUUAGAGAAAAAGGUAUAAUCAUGGAUUGAAAUAUCGAUAAACACGGAUAUAUCGAUAUUUGGAUUUUAGGGAUAUAUUGGAGAAAUAUCGAUGGAUAUUUUUACACAAAUAUCAACGAGACAAAAAUUAUCCAAAAUUGAUGGGUAUGCUUAGAAAAAUCCAAAGAAUGAUAAAAUAAGCAAUAAUAUACAUGUUAAAGUUAUUUUAUUUGUGUAAUUGACAUAAAUAUGGUCAAAGAAAAAAAUAUCAAUAAACGGUUUACGAUACUUUUUAAGAAUAGAAAAUAUGAAUUUUGGAAUUGUAUACUUAGAAAGUUAGAAUUGAGUUAAGAAAUAUUUGAUUUUAUUAAAUGAAAACAAUUUACACAUAAACAUAAUACAUAUGACGUUGCAACAAUCUUUAAUACCAAAAUGAAGAUCGAUGCGGUUCCAUCAUAUUGUUAGAUGAAGGGAACCCAUCUUAUUGAAGAUAAUAUUCAUACUAGGACAUGGAGUUUCAAUAGUAUUGAUUGUAAGUACGAACAUGCCAUGUAUAAAUAAGAUAAAUAUAAAAAGUAGUUAAAAAUAAAAUGAUAAUAUAAAUUUAAAAUAAAAAAUAAAAAAAGAAUAAAUCUUAAAAUAAAAUAAAAAAGCUUUCAAAAAAAUCUCCAAUAAUUCCCCAAUAUAUCGUCGAUAUAUUCGCUGACAUAUCCGAUAUAUUCGCUGACAUAUCCGAUAUAUUCACCGACAUAUCCGAUAUAUCCUAAUAUUCGUCGAUAUAUCCUAUAUAUUCGCCGAUAUAUCCUAUAUAUUCGCCGAUAUAUCCUAUAUAUCUCCGAUAUUUUGACAGGCUUCCUUCGCUACUCCGCGCAUCGCUUCACGUUCGAUUUUUUCGCCAAUUUAUUCGUUCUAAAUCGAUAUUUCGCCAAUUUUGCCAAUAUUCCUCCCAUUCAAUAAUCGAUAUUGAAUUUCGUUUCGAGGCCACCCAAUAUUCGAUAUAUCAACAAAAUAUCGCCGAUAAAAUCCGAUUUUUCAAUCCAUGGGUAUAAUCAAGACGUUAUUGAUGGCAAAAUAAUUCAUAUACUCCACAAAAGCUUAAUAAUCCCAAUCAUUUGAAUUUACAUGAAUUAUUUUUUCAUCCACCAAAAUGACUUUUAUAAAGAUAAAAACAUGUCAAAUUUCUAACACCACUAUAAAAUACAGUGGGAUUGACAAUGUGAACUUUGCAUGUAGUAAUUGAUAAUUCACCUAUUCUUACCCAAAAAGGAGAUGAACCAAUUCAUUAGCAUUGAAUAUGAAGUUCAUGACCCUUUUCCCAUUCAGUCGUACAUGAAGUGAACAAAAUUAUAAACAGGAACAAGCCAUCAUGAUUGUGAAAGCAAAAAACAAGAUGAAGGUCGACACAAUAUUUAAUAUAACAUAUAUCAUAUAACUACAGGUGAAGGUCAACAAAAAGUAACAUUAGCUUCAGCUUCAAUGUACCACAUAGCAAAUUUCAAAGAUUGCAACAGGAGAAAUACAAACCUGGUGAAGGGAAAGUAUGAAGUCCUAGAUGGCCAAGUUAACGGUCUGCCAAACAACUACAACUUAAGACUUGUAGUCAUGCAAAUGCUACAACUGGGUACUCAAUUAAUGUAAAAUCUUUUGAUGAUAAACAAAGUAGCACCUCAAUCAAACAUUUCUCUAAUGAUAAUGGCAUAAAUAAUUAAGGGGUCUCAAAAUCGUGAUGAACAAGGUUGGACAAAUGAUUUAAGGUUUGAGGAAAAAUUUUGAAAACUAACAAAGGAAUUUAUGGAAAGGAUGGAAAAGAACAUAUUCUUCUUUUCUGCUCAUAUUUUAAAUGUGGAACAUGCCUAACUAUGGGAGAUGAAAGGAGAGUGAAAUAUUAAAAGAAUAUUUGAUGUGAUGAUUCAACCUUGGGCAUCUUCUUUCCUUUUCUGUUUAUCACAGCUACUUCAAUGGAUGCUUAGGUUGUAGAUGUGUGGAUAAGUAAGGUAAGAAAGGGCAUUGAAGAUCCUGUUUCUUAAGACAAUUUCAUGAAUGGGAACUAGAAAGUGUUAUGGCGUUUCUUUUCAAACUGCAAGAGAAAUCGGUGAAAUGAGGAAGAGAGAUUGUUUUGGAUGGAAUUACAAGGAUGGAAAAAAUCCUAGUCAAAGUAUUCUCUCCCAAUCUGUCUCAGGGAGAAUUUAACUUUGGUUCAGUUAAGAAGGAGAGGAUGGACCUUGGAUGAAUAAAUGUCACAUUUCCAAGGGCGGUGAAGAAUCAAUGUUCUUCUUCAGAUAUUGUUGCAUUUGAUAUUUUCUUCCUUUUGCGUCUGGGCGGGUGUCGCCCUUUUUGGUAAGAGACACUUCAAAGUUGACAUGGGACAGUGGUCAGGAAAAACCAUAGGAAGGCAAGGACUGUCCCAUUGUGUUUAUUUCACACUAUUUGAAAGGACUGGACACGUAGUGUCUCUGAAACCAUGGAGCAACGGAUCAUACACUCAAAAGCUCAUUCUUGAAAUUUUUUUUGUUCUUAGGGCUUUGGGCGAGGAAGUUUAUUUUAGAAUAAUAAUGAUCAUCGUCGUCAUCAUAAUAAUGCCAUGAGCCCUUCAUGUCCAGGUCUUGUUCCAUAAAAAGGCCCUUGCCCCAAACUUGUGCCAUUGAAAUAAUUGCUGCUAAGAGAACAAGCAAUAAAAGAGGCUUAGACAAGUCUAAAGCCACAUAUAGAUCGAUAAUCUUAAUGGUGCAGCAUGAACCCAGCAAAGUUUAUUACAAGGACAAUAUAAUAGGGUAGAAUUCAGGAUAAGUUUGUAAGCCUAAGUGAAAUCCAAUUAUUAAUGAAAGAGAUAAUUCAUGUUGAUCAAAACCAUGAAAAAUAAAAUGUUUGAUCAAUACAAAGCACAAUCAGCAAAAUGCGUAACCUGACCCAUUAAUAUUCCAACCAACAGUUCAGGGUCAAAUCUAGAACAAGUUCAUGUCCAGUUCAACCAGCCAUUUGACCUAAGGACAACUGGUCCAGAAGCACCAACCCAGACAACCCUUGAAUAAAAUAUUCUAAUUAAUUUGGUCAAACCAGCACAUUGAGAAAAACUCUCAAACCUGACACAUUACUUCAACAACCAGUCAAUUUCAGGUCAACUCUAUAAUAUCAAAACUGAGAACAUGGAACAACCCCAUGUACUAUACAUAAACCUGUGCUAAAUAUUUUAUUCCUAAACCUUAAUUCAAUCAAUCAUAUAGCAUUAUAAACUCAACAUGCUUAUUUUAGGAUGGACGAAUCACAAGACAUAAAAAUUAUUCUUCUCAAUUAUGUUUCAAAAGGGGGAUUGUGCUGGCCCCCACCACACCUCCUCCCUUGUUUUGUCCAGUUGUAUUCAAUAUUUCACCUAAAGCUUAUGUAUCACUGCAUCCCUUAAUAGUGGAAGUAGAGGAUAUAGUGCCUACCUUAAAACAAUUACCAUGUGGGCUUGCUUAGAACCUCAGAUUCAUUAAUUGGAGCAAAAUAAGCUAGCUUCUGCUGGGUUUCACAUCUUUAUUCUUCAUAAUGCCUGUAAUUUGCCCAACACAAAAACAGACCCAGAACCAUUUUCUCCACUACUUUCUAACAAUAGACUACUUGAAAAACUAUGCUCUCUUUUGUUUUUAGAGUAAAUAAACAUCUAAAAAUCAGAAUGAAAUGGCAGAAAAUCACCCAAGGUAUAAUAAACAUGAAAAAAUCAAAACAACACGGCACAGAAUCACCUGAGGAAUAAAGCUAUUUAAACGUACAUAUUCCUGUAGUUCCAAGACAAUUAAGAAUGAGUAGUUUUCAAAGGAUAUUCACAUAAAACCUAGGUUGUAAGAAUAUGAAUUUCUACUUAUAUAAAGUUAGUAAUUGGGCUGGACAAAAUUGAACUCAUAUCUUAAUUGUUGGCAAGCACUGAAAAAUUCUGCUCACGUCACUUAUAUGAUAAUACAAUAGCCUACCCCCACAAUUUUGAUCAAUCCUAUCCAAUAUUACCUAUAAUGGAUGCAGUACAUGGUAUGCCAUUUACUAUGAAAUAUUGCACAUCACAACACCCUCAAAUUAGUUGCUUGCACAUGAUAAGCUAGUUUCAAAUAUCGAAUUCCAAAUUUGCAAAGGCUCAAAACUCUGCUUGAUUAAACAUGUAUCCUCACACCUCUAAAACUCCUCAAUGAAUUUCCACUGUAAGCCAGUCUUCAUCACAUACUUACAAGUACAUAAAAAAGACAAGGGAUAUCCAAGUGAUAUAACUGAAAGAUUCCAAGAAAUAUGAUUUUUAACCAUUUAGAUUAAAUUUUAGACAUUAAGUACCCAUCAACUGUCCUGAAUUUACCAAACUUUCUAAAUUAAAUAAGCUUAGACAACAGGAAUGUGUGUUUGUUAACUUCUCAGGGAAUAGGGAUGAGUAUUUGUUCAAUCCUAGGGCUAUAUUACAAGAACAAAUAAAGAAUAGUCCUUCGCCCAUUUGUAGCACAACAGCAUAAUAAUCAGGACUCAAUUUGUCACAGUUAAUGAAAUUAACCAGACAAAAAUAUUAAAUUGUCAUACAAAAUAAUUAGAAACCUAAAAAUCAACAUAUGGUGUUCAACAAUAUCCAAUACCGAACAUGAAACCUCAAGACUUUCCUAAUAUCAAUAUGUUACCCUACAAAAUCUAGAUUUCAUAUUGAGAUAUUGAACUCUAAAAGAUUCAGUUGGUUGACAAGGCAAAAGAGUAUAACUGACCCCAACAAGUCAUUAGUUCAAGGAAAUCACAACUAAAAACCAAAUUUUGAUGCAAAGAAAAUCUGUGCAUUGAACAUAAUCUUACCACAUCCAAAAAAAAUAUAUGACCUGAGUAAACCUCUCUGCUGAACUUUCAGCGCUUAUGUCGUCUGCUUCUCCGAAAAAGACGGGGGUUGAAUUGAAAAGAUCUAUUAUAGAAAAGAAAUUCACCAGAAAAGAAAAAUCAACUUCAUAGAUUGACCUUGAAAAUUAAGUAAACUCUGAUAGGAUUAUGUGUAAGGCCUCAAAUUAUUAAGGAAAUAGUACGCAAAAAUUAAAUGUACUAAUCAAACUACUGAAGAGAAACCUUUCCAUUCAAUUUAAUAUUACAUUGAACAAGAAUUUAUUGAAAUUCGAGUUUACAGUCUUCGGCAUCUCUUUUCUCCCUUUUUUUUUCAUGUUUUUGACUUGUAAGUGUAUGCAUGCACAUGUGUUCUUUUUGGUUCGUGGUGAAAGGACAUUCAGUAACCCGCAACCUAAAAGUUUGCCGCAAUCCCAUUUUCCCUAAAUCAUUGGUUUUCCUAUAUCAAUUUUCGUUUGUGUUAUAAAAAUGCAAAGCAAUUUGCAUAGCACACUGACUUCUAGGAAAAUGGUUUGGGAAAAUAAAAAACGCAGUUCUUUGGUGUGUUUUAAAAUUACGUGCGUAACUGUUAGAUCUAGCCAUUCCUAUUUAUUUUUAUUUUUAUUUAAACUUAAUCUUCACAAAUUUUUACAAUUUUUAGGAUUACCUUCUCAUUUUGGUUUAAAGUAUUCAGUGUCCAAAGAAAAAAAUAAUGUCGUAAAAAUACAAGAAGAGGAAGAGUAGGCCAAAUAAAAUAAUUCAAUAACUAUUUGUAGUAGCUUGAGCUUAUAUAAAUUUCCAAUAGUUAACAUAAAUAAAGCAGAAAAUUAUUAUAAGUUGCAAACUAAAGAAUAUUAAUUUUAAACCUUAAUUUCAUGUUUUAUGCAGGUUUUUUUUUUUUCUUUCGUAUAUCCAUAAGAUUAGAUAAAAUAAAUUUUGAAACAAAUAUAAUUAAAUACAAGACUGUUUUAAUUAAUUUUACAAAUAUGACAAUUUCCCAAAAAAUUAUAUACAUACAUAAAUACAAAUACUGUCAUCAAGACAUGAAAAUUAAGAUCCAUGGAUUUAGAAAUAAGACCGUGAUUAAAAAGGUUCUCAUUUAUCUUAAAAUUUUAGUUUAAGUAUUAUUUCAUUUACCCUCGGGUAACAUCCUGACAAACUAUCAUCAAAAUCAUAAAAUUUUACAUCAAAUGUUUCCUAUUUACUCCAAAUCAAAUGAACAUUCUCCAUUUUCUUUAUCGAAUUUUGCCAACUACUAUCCAGGUGCAUCUCAAUAUCUCGCCAACAAUAUUUAAUAAUUACUUCUAAACUUCUAAUUGUUUUAAGGGAUAAACCCAGAUUUAAACUGGAAAGGAUGUCAACGGUUUCCCAAAAAUGGGUCAAAUUUUCAACUAUCUUGUGAUUGAUCUACUACCAGAAAGCCAUACAUUUGUACAAAAAUGAUGAACAAUCAGAAGGCCGCCUUUUCUCUUGAGUGAAUUCACAACAAUCACAUACGGAAGAGACAGCAAGGGAUUGGUUAAAGUACAAAAGGACACCUAACUCUUAUCUAUCGUGCGACCUAUAAACAGAUACAUAUUAAAAAGCCUGUAAGCGUUGUAAAAUUUGGCACUCCAAAACAACAAUGAACAAAUUGAUGUGUUUAUUCCCCAUGUCAAAUGGACCUGGACAUGUGUUAGGUGUUGAUUUGCGUUCAAGUGUCACAUCAGUUUAACCCCCAGAUCUUAAACACAGGAACAGUUAAACCGUCUUACUCUAGGCAAAAUUGAAGUCUAUAUACCUAAAUGUUAACAACAAUGAACAAAUUGAUGUGUUUAUUCCCUAUGCCAAAUGGACCUGGAUAGAUGUGUUUGGUGUUGAUUUGCGUUUAAGUGUCACAUCAGUUUAAUCCCUAUAUCUUAAACACAGGAACAGUUAAACCGUCUUACUCUAGGCAGAAUUGAAGUCUAUAUACCUAAAUGUUCAACAUGAGUCCAAGGUAAUGUAGAAUAAAUAGUUCUUUUCUUCUCUUAUUCUCUAUUUUUGUUGGAUACACCUGUUAGGCAUAGAACUGAAUAGGCACUAUUUGGCAAAUAUCCCAUACCCAAACCCUUGUCAUAUUCCAGUUAUAUCAGACUUUAAAGUAUGCAAUCUGGCACAGCUUAUUCACUGGUAACUAAAGUUCAUUCCUUUGCCUAAAAGCAUAGGCCAUGUUUGAAGCAUAAGCAUCAUCAAUAAAUUUUCUAGAAUUAAAAACCUGUUUAGCUAUUUGGAACAUUGCAUAUCACAUUCCAAAAAAGCUUGCUGAACCCUGAAAUUCCAUACUUGUUUUCUUAAAACACUUAAUUUGUUCAACAACAUUUUUUAAAACAAGAAGAAUCUUACAGGAACUUCUAAAUCUCAAACCUAUCAAUUGAACCAGGUUCAAUUGGAUGUUUUGGCUAAUUGAUUCCUCAAAAACACUUAACCUAUUCCACAAAAUUUUUGGCAUAGCAUAUCAAAUUUAAAAAUUAUAGGAUCACAAUCCAAUUUUGUUCAGAAUCGAUACAGAGGAAAAUGUAAACAUUCAUGAUGGGAAACCCAUCUUAGGUUCCUUUAUUUAGUUUGAUAUGGAACAAUUAUGCAUCACAUUCCAUUAAAGCUAGCAUAUGACACCAUAAAAAAUUUUAAGCCCUAAUCUUCUCUUGAAGUAUUCAACAACCCUUUUUUAAAAAAUGAUAAUAAUAAUAUAAAUCUUACAGUUCCAGGUCUCAAAAACCAUCAAUUGGACCAGGUCCAGUUAGAUUUUUUGGCCAAAUGAUUUAUCUAGAACUCUUAGACUAUCCCUCAAAUAGCAAGUUAAUGAAGUUUCAAAAUUGUGGGAUCACAAUCCAACUUAGCUGGGAAUAAACCAAUCCUGAUGCUUGGGAAAAUGAUUUAACAACGUAAACUUUUGUGAAGGGAACCUAUCUAAGUUUCCCAUGGAUCCCAUAACAGCAACAUGAAAAUAAUAAUAAUCAUAAUAAUAAUUACACUGUAGAAUGUUUCUGUAACUUCAGAGAAAAAAGUUGAACAAGGAUUUUUCGUAAACAUGUUUGCGUAUGAUUUUACAAUUGUCAAUGGUUCCUUGUACUCUUUAAGGCUACCAUAUCGCUGGCUAUGUACCUCUCAAUGGGUCUUAUAUCUUUAGACCAUUUUCUAGUAUCUCAUUUACACACACUCUAAGGCCGCAUAUUCCUCCUCUUUUUGACUAAUCACACCCCACACAACCCCAAUCCUAACCUGCCCUUAACCCAUCAUUCCCUAUAACUGAUAAGGUAACCAAAAACACUUUCCAAUACCUAUAAAAUCCCCAUUGUCUUCGUAACAAUUUUGCUAUUACAUUAACCCACUUUUGAGAGGCCACACAUUCCUUACACUUACCCAGUCCACCCAACCUUUCCUCCCCCUUCUUUCCAAUAACCAACAAGAGAAUAACUAAUCAAAAGAAUACCUAAACCAAAAAACAAGCAGCCUUGGCCCCAGAAAAGAUUGCAAAGAAUAGAAGGGAACAAAUGCUUGAAACAUGAGCUUACAUAUUUAGAUUAGAGCAAGGAGUAGCAUGCUGCGUCCUGACUAGUUAUAUUCGACACACAGGCAAAGUAUCCGUCUUCCGGGACAAAUUCUUAAACUUCUAGCAUAGCACUUACACAUGAAUGACUCAAACUUACUAGCUAAUUCAGACAAUCCAUAGUCAAUAUCACCCUGCCUCAGACAAUCCAUAACCGAUAUCACCCUGCCUAUACAGCCGAACUCCACAGGCAAAGUACAUGUGUUCUUUAGACCUAAAUCUGAUAUUUGCAACACAAAAAGCAUUUACAAAAACAGUCUACGCUUGGUAGCUAAUCCAGCAAAUUCAUUAUUGACAUUUCCCNNNNNNNNNNNNNNNNNNNNNNNNNNNNNNNNNNNNNNNNNNNNNNNNNNNNNNNNNNNNNNNNNNNNNNNNNNNNNNNNNNNNNNNNNNNNNNNNNNNNAUUAUUGACAUUUCCCUGCCUAUACAGUCCACAGCAACCACAAAGAAACCAAACACCCUCCCUCCCCUCCCCUCCCCUCCACCCCCUGCACCCAAAAGAAACAAUCCCCUCCCAACCCCUGCACCCAAAAGAAACAAGGGUUAAGAGAAUCUUGCUUCUCAGUCUACAACAAGAUAAAACACAAAUAAAGCUCUACAGGUUUGACCAAUUUCAAUGUGGAAUCCCACAUUUCAUCAUCAGCAUAUCUGUAAUAGGACUGAGCUGCAUUUAGUCAAUUCUAGAGUAGUAUCACAUAUAUCCUCCUUACCUACUACAAUCUUUAUCAUGUAAUCAUCAAAAUAAGCAGUGACAUCAAUAUGCAUCCAACAGAAAAGUAAAGGCAUUUGUUCAAAGCUAAGAAACAAGUAUGAAUAGAUGGAUGAAUUAUUGCAGAAAUUUUUCAUUAAAAUUCUUAAUCAAAAUGUAAAUCACCAUUAAAAAAAAUAUUAGAUAAGAGCACAAAGAUGACAUUAUGGUAAUAAAUAAUAAUAACAAUGCCAGGAUGACAAUUAUAUAAUAACUCAGGUCAAUUGGUAGAAAUUUUUUCCAUUCAUUCACUGUAAAAAUUAAACAAGUUCAUGAGAAAAACUGAUGUUAAUCUGUUAAACCAUUUACUUUAUAAAUGAAAGAUCACUAUAACACACAAAAACCUUGGUUCUGCACAAGCACAAUGACUCCAUGGGAUAGAGAAAUGUUCAAUAAUGGAACUGCGGAUUCAUGGCAAAAGAAGAGAACUCAAAACAUCAUGAAAUUCUCCUCUUGAUUGCAUGCAUAUUUCAACCAUUAUGUUACAUGUAUCCAAAUUUGCUGCCAUUUCUACUCCUGCUACUGUUCAAUUUCAGUAUAUAACAAAAGGUUUCACUAUAACUGUCAGUCUCAUGUGGUUCCAGCUUUUUUCUUAAUCAGAAUUUUAGGUAGUUCCAUUUUUUAUUAUCAUACACAAAGCAUUUCAAGAAGGUACUUCCAAAUUUGACACUGGCUUCAGUAAGUUCUGAAAGGAACUUAAAUCAUGAUUUGUGUCUCUAACUAAUCCUCAUGCACUGAAACCAACUGUUUCCUUUUCUCUUGACAGAGUCUUCAAGAGGUGCUCCUCAUUUUAUUUGCCCUAUGCUAAAGCAGAAAAGAAGAGGGUAGGCCAAUUAGGGUGGUUAUUAUUGGAAAUAUAGCAGUAUGCCAAAGAGGGUUGAACCAAGAAUGACAAGUAUUUUCUGAAAGAAACAUUGUAAGCUUGCUCAGGAAAACAAGAUAGCUGAUCUCAAUGAAUACAAAAUCUUUCUUAUUUUAUCUUUUGGUUGGAAGGUUGGGGUUUAAGAAGACAGAGGAUUCAGCAAGUAAAGAUACUCAUCUACAACAAAAACCCAUCACCCAAAUGCCCAAAUACCUCACCAAUGUAAAAGAAUGAAAUAAGAAGACUACAGGUAAAAAGAUUCAGUCUCUAUUCCUUUUUUUUAAUUCUUCCCUUAUCUGUUUCCUCUUUCAAGGCCUUUUUGCCUUCUGUGUAAAGCUUCAGUUCUUACACGAGAAACAUGUUCUCUGUCCUCUCUCAAUACAAGUUUCAGUCAAUCAGCAUCCAGAUAAUGCAUUAGAAAGGAGUAAGGAAUCAAAAACUGGACAAGAUAUAAGUCUCAAUACAUCCUAGUCACCCUAUACCAUGCUGAGUUUAAUUUGGGUAUGCUUAGGGUAAAAAAAAAAAAAAAAGGAUGAAAAAUAUAUAUUUCAAAGUGUCAUCUCAAUGACAGCAAGGCCACAAUUUCACAUAAAAGGUCCAAAAUUUGCAGAUUAAAGUGACAGCAUACUACCACUUCCUACUAGAAAACAAUUCCUGACAUAGAACUAUCCCAGUUCAAAAUAAGAUAUCAAAACCAUAAAACAAACUUAACUGCCAUGAAACUCCAGAUCCAAAAAAAACUCCUUGCAGGAACCAGAAAUGACAGAACUACCAUAAACCAUCCCGAGAAAAGAAAGAAGGCAUGGAAUGUGAAUCACCUAUAUUGCUAAAACCAUAAGUACCAUAGAACCAAAUCCAAUCACAGGUCAGCAGUGAACCCAUUUCAGUCCAGUUUCCAGCACUACUAUGGCUUAAUGCUUAUUCCUCCGCCCCUCAAGACACCCUUCUUUGAUUUGCUUGAAUCUUCAGGGGUUGAGUGAUCCUUGGAAGUCCUGCCAAGAUGAAUCAAACAAAGAACAAAGAAACAGAACUUCAUGACAUGAAAAAAAAUAUAUAUAUGCAUGUGUGUGUGUGUGUGUAUAUAUCAAAUCCAGAAAGUAUGAAAUAAGAAGCGCAGCAAUUAACAAUAUGGACUAAAAUAACUUACAAUUUCUGUUUUUUUGCAUUCUGCUGCUUGAUGCUUAAGACAAUAUCCAUAGCCAUCUGUUGGUGCUCCCUUGUCUGUGAAUGCAUAUCCAAACCAUCCACUGUUUCACAGUCAAUGUUACAAAUGCGGCACCAUGCCAUACUUAGUGGCUUCCUCUUUCUUGAGUUAUCAAAAGACUCCAUGUCACCCUGAAAAAAUAUGUAAAUCCAAAGCAAAUGCUCAAUAAAUAAGUACACACACAGCUCCAAAAAUAUGAUUCUAUAUUCAUUCACUUUGCAUACUAGGCACAAUAUUCACUGCACAUUUAAAUAGAAAUUGCUAAUUUGGAAUGGUUUAAAAUGAGAACAAGGUCAGAAACGGAAAAGUAAUGGAAAGACAGACAAAAGAGUAUUAUUCUUACAGGAGGCCUGAAUCCAUGAUCAUUUGGAUAUCCAUGGAGAGAAUAGGUACUCCUAAAUCCAGGCUCACCAAUUCGUGGAUGGCCUGACUUGUUGCUUCCUCCAAAUGAUUCACCAGCUGAUAGGCGCGAAGGGAAGUUUCCAGGCCCAGACAGUUCCCCCAUCCGUGGAUGACCAAGAAAGGCAUCAAAAACUGGCUCUCCAAACCGCAACUGACCAGGGAUAUUCCGAGAACCAAAAUGUUCACCCCUCUGCAAAUGGCUAGGAAGAAUAUCUUGACCAAUUAAAUCACCACCCCUCAAAUGGUGGGGAGCUGGUCUAGAUGCUAUAGGAUCAGCCAUCACCAAUUCCCCAGGACCUUCAAGCUCACCUCUACGCAAGUGGCUGGGCAAAACUGGAAACCUACUUUCAUCAGAGGGUAGGUUGAAGGUUUUGGAUCCUUCGCCAAAUCGACGUGAUUCACGGCCAUCUAUAUCAUCUAGGUCUGACUGUCUGCCAGGAACACCAGAAAGGCCACCAAAUCCACGAUGGGGAAUGCCAGAGAACUCUCUGGUUGGGCUUCGUGGAUUUAAACCAUCCAUAUGAUGCCGACCAUAUUCAGGAACAGAUCCAAGAAAAUUUGGAUGAGUACGAGCCAUAUCUGAUCUUCCAACAUUAUCUUCAUGAAAACCAACUGCUCGGGAUCUCUCUCCAUCACCACCUGGAUGAGGAGGAGGAAAGAACCUUGAAGUGCCAGUGCCAGCACUGGAUUUAAAGCCAGAAUCAUAAUUGAAUCCAAGAGGUGCCUUGUCAAGAAGCCCCUGGGCAGCAUCCAUAACAAAUCCUUGAGAACCCCUGUCAAGUGGCCUUGAAGAUGAAAAGUAAUUCCCAAAUUUUGGAACAAGAUCAGAAUCCAAAUGAGAAGACCUAGAGAAUUGCUUGAGAUCUUCUGCAAACUUUCCAUGAUCGGAACUUCGUCGACCAGGUUCAGGUAGAGAUUUGAACCUUUCAUCCUGCAAUCCAACUGGUAAGGAAGAUUCAAUGCCCAGCCCACCAUUCAUUCUCAUCAUAUUCGAUUGGACACCAGAGGGCUGCCCAAAUGGACCCCGUUCUGAAGACCCAGGAAUAUGUGAAUCAGAUUGUCUGCCAUCAAAGUAGUUGGGCCUUGGAUUUGAAAAUAUUUCAGAUUCCACUGGAUUAACAGGCCGCUGCUGACCAUCAGGACCAUGCGGAGGUGCUCUUACCAUCAUUCCACCAUGUGAAUCGAAUGAACCAGCUGGCAGUGGGCCCAGUGGAGGUCUUCCAAUAAGUUCACCUUGAGAGAUUCUUGAGGGCCCAGCAUGGGAAGGGAGACCAUGACCUUGAUUAUAAUGCCCUUGAGAAACAACAGAUGGCGGUUCAAAGCUUCUUUGAGGAGGAGCAAAAUGACUCAGUCCCCUACCAAAGGAUGCUGCAGAACCUGGACCUAGGAUACCACCUGGAGGGAUUUCAUGAUGAAAAGAACCACGUGACUGUUGUGCUGGAUGUGGUAAGAGUCCCAGGGCCUGAGGCUGCAAUUGGGUGGAAGGUUGACCUGGCACUGGUGCAUUAUGUACAAGACCAGGAGGCGGCAUUGCUUGUCCGCUAGAAGGCGCUGCAGGCCUUUGCUGGACAGUGGGACCAUAUUGCAUUGGUGGUGGCUGAUGCCUUCCCCCAUCCAAAAUUGGCACUGGAUGAGGAAGGGGCACAAAGCCCCUGCCUUGCACCUGACUAGGUGGAGGAAAGCCUCUGUAUUCAUCAUUACUGGGACCUUGAGGCAUAGUUGGGGCUUGAAGCAAAUUCCUUUCCUGAUUACCAGGUUGAUUUAACAUUUUUCUCUCACUCACUGAAACAGAACCUCUAGGUGUAGCAUUUUGAGCAGAGCUAUCAGGAAUUGGAGCUGGAGGAACAGCUUCUGUGCCCCUAUUGGUGGCAGUGAAAAGCUGCAUGACCCCACUGGCAUCCCCUGAAUCCUUCUGCAACUUUCCACCCAUUUCAUCAAGAAUCUCCACUUGUUGUAUAGGGGGGUUUUUCAUCAGGAGGCCAUUCUGAAUUUCCUUGUCUUGCAGCAAAGAAUGCUCCACUUGCUCCACUUGUUUAGGAGGGACACUGAGUUCAUCUUUCUGGUCCUCAACUACAAUACCAAUUGAUUUGCCACCAGGUGAACGCUCUACUGUACUCUUGAUAACCUCUUCCUUCACCAUCUGCUUGAUAACAGGCUCUCCAUCUUCCGAUGCUUGUUGCAUAGGAUCUGAACCUAAUGCUCGCAUAGACUCCGGAAUCUCCUUGGCAGAAUUAUUAAUCCUACUGAUUGUAUCCUCAUCUUCACCAGUAGUUUUCUGUUUCUCAUCCAUGGAUUUCAUAUCUGUCUCAGAUUUUAUUUCAACUGUAUUAGAUUCUAUACCAGAUGUUGCAGCCACACCAUUCGCAUCCUCUCUAGCGGUUUUCUCAGAGAAUGAUUCACCUUCUUGCCCACCUACACCUUUCUUGGACAAAUCAUCAUCUGGCUUCUCAAACGUAGUUUGUUUUACAUUCAACCCAGGUUGUGGAUGAGCAGACUGUUCCAAGUGUUGGCCCAGUGUCUGAUUUGCAGAUGGCUGGUUAGGCCCAAGAUGCAUCGGCCUAAGCUGAACGGCACCAGAAAGUCCAGCUUGAGAUUGUGGAAAUGGCUGUGGUUGUACCCCUUGAUUUGGCAUCCCAGGCCUUCCAACAUUCUGAGGCAGCUGAGGUUGCAUGCCAUGCAACAUUGCAACCUUCUGUUGGGGCUGUGGAUAGGCAUGAGAAUGUUGCUGCCAUGAUUGAGGUGGGGCCUGGGGGCGCAACUGAGACUGCAUUGUUGGUGUUGGUGGUUGCAUGAAAGACCCUUGCUGAUGUAAUUGAUUCUGACCAGUGCCUAAUGGUGGCUGCUGGACAAACUGGUGAGGCAAUGACUGCUGAAUUGGCUGCAUGGCAGCACGCUGGUGGACUGGAUGACCUGCUUGCUGAUGAGGAUGGACCGGUAGCUGCUGUGGAGGGAGGACAUUUUGGGCUUGACCUGGUAAAGGCAACAAAGCCGACUGCUGCUGACUUUGAGCAUGAGCCUGGGAAGGGCGCAUCUGAGGAGAUUGCUGGGGGAAUUGAGCCUGAGGAUGCAUAUGCAUAGGCUGCUGCUGCAUGCCCCCCAAAGGCAUUUGCUGCUGGGGCCGGGGUUGUGGAAAGGAGUGAUGGCCCGUUACUGCAUGGGCUGAUGGAGGCUGUGUCUGAGACUGAGGAUUAGGAUUUGGAGUCUGGUUGGGUUGAGAAGGGUGAUGUUGGGAAAGGGCAUGGGGAUGGGGAUGAGGCUGGGGGUGGGGUUGAAGUGUGGGCUGCUGGGUUUGUGAAAGAGGCUGGGUCUGGGGCUGGGGCAGGUGAUGAUGCUGGGGAAGAAGCUGAGAGUUGGGCUGGCGCUGAAUUUGGGACUGCGGAUGUUGCAUUGGAGGAUGAGGCUGCUGAUAUUGUGGCAAUUGCAGAUGUUGUUGUGGACGAGGCUGGACAGAAUGGGGCUGUGGAUGUGAUUGAGCUUGGGGAUACUGCAGAGUCUGAGGAUGUUGGUGUCCAUGGUGUGGUGGAUGAGUCUGUGAUUGAAUUUGAGAAUGUUGCUGCGCUACAGGGUGAUUUUGUGCCUGUUGGUUAGCUACUUGGUUUUGAUGUUGAACAGCCACUGGCGCCUGAACAAGUGAAUGGGGUUGUGGUUGUGUCUGUGUUUGUGCCUGUGUCUGUGCCUGAAGUAGAGGUUGAGGUUGCGGUUGGAGCUGAGCCUGCGCCGGGGGCUGGGAUUGGAGUUGUGGCUGGGGCUGUUGCUGCGGCUGCAUCUGGGGCUGUUGUUGGGGCUGGGGCUGAAGUUGGGGUUGGGUUUGGGGCUGUGGCUGUGGCUGAAGCUGGGGUUGGGUUUGGGGUUGUGGCUGAACAAGUGGCUGUAGUUGGGCCUGGGGUUGGGGUUGGGGUUGGGGCUGCCCAGAUAAUUGUGCAGGAUGAGGCUGCAUAUGAGGAUGCUGAUACUGAACAGCCUGUUGCUGAUAAGGGUAAUACUGCUGAUAAUGCUGCUGAUAAGGGUCAUAUCCAGGAUACUGCUGGUAGUAUUGCUGAUAUUGUUGUUGUUGUUGUUGAUACCACUGUUCAGGAGUCGGUGCAGCAGCCUGAGCAGUAGAAUUGACCUGCUGAUUUAGAUCCUGCACAGGCGCAGAAGCAGGUGUAAUUUGAGCAGGUUGUGUCUGAGAAGCUAGAGCUCCAGCCUGUGCAGCAGUCUGGCUCUGAUCAGCAGCAGCAGCUGCCCCUUGUGCUGCAGCAUCCUGCACACCCUGUUAUUGAACAAUAAGGCUAAGAAUCAACCAGCCAAGAAACCUUGUUAACAUACCAUUUAAACAAAAAAAAGUAGCCCUGGACUCACAGGGCAGUUUUGAGCAUGUUCUUGCACUUGACGAUGCACAAUUUGAACUCCACACCUGUUGCACACAACUGGCGAAUUGCCAAAGGCACACCCAGAACAAUGAGAAAUGCAUUCAGAUAGAGGACCCUGCCAUUGGCAUCCACUCCUGUGAUAGAGACAAUGAACCGCUAUUUUGCCUAUGGUUUCCGCUAGCGCUUUAUUUGAUUCUAUUAGUGGCUGCAAGGAAAAGGUUAUAGAACAGGUUUAUUGAUAAUCAUGUAUAAUACUAAAAACACACACACAAUCGGAUAUACACACACAAACUUAAAAAUCAUCUAGAAGAGAACAUGACAUGGUAGAUUACAAAUACUCAAUACACAGUUACAUAGGCACAUGCAUACACAGAAAAACUUAAUAAUGAUCUAGAAGAGGGCAUGAUAGGGCUGGGAAUAACCUUAGAAUCCGCCUCUGUCACCAAAUAGCCAUCGUAAGGACAGGCCCGGGUGGUGCUCACAACGUACGCCAAACAAGGUUUGCAGUAUAAAUGAGUGCACUGUGACUGUAAUGCUUCAUUUGGAUAGACAAGCAAUCGACAUACUGGACAGAAGUAUUCUCCAGCGAGAGAUUGAAUGUUUAGUAUGCACUCGUUAUCAAACCCCAUAUUGACCCAAAAUUUGGCGCCAACUCCCUUCGUACAUCAAUGGAAUGGAUCUAAAAAUACAAGUAUUUGUCAGUUUUGGCUCACAAAAAGGAAAAAAAAAAAUUCUUCCUUACAAGGUUUUGACAGCCUUAAUUCAUUGCCUAAAAGCAGACGCAUAAUUGCAAACAAAUUUAAACAGGUUGAGCCAUAUCUAUGCUAACAAUUUUCUUGUUUAAACUAUUUGCCACCUAAAUCUAUACCAGCUUGACCUAGAUUUAUAAUAGCCAAGCAUAAUUGUAUUAUCAUGAUAUACCAGCAGAACUCAUUGCCCUGAUGAUUGAGGGAGAAGGAGAUGGUGUUUUACAAUCCAUCUUGCAUUGACAAGUUGAUAAACCAUAAUCAAAGUUCAGGUUUCCCAAGUGAUUUCCUUGACCAACACAACUGCUCAUAUGAUAAUAAAGGAAGAAAUAUGUAAAGAACCAUAAUGAAGCCAAUCCAAACAGGCAUAAUUAUAAAAAAUAUUUAAGGAUAUUGCCUACCUUGAUAUAAGUUGAAAAAACUAUCUACCCUGAUAUAAACCAAAAAAAAACUACAGUACAUAAAUUCAUAAGCAUAUGUCACCAACCAGGGUCAUAAAACUAAAACCCAUGCAAAGACAGAUGUUUAAUUCCAAGUAAAGCACGGAAUAGAAAUUCAAGAGAAAACAAAAAAAAAAUGAAUACUAAUUUAAGUAAUGUCAUCUACAACUACAACUCCAACUCCUUUUUAAUAUAUCUUCCUUUUUAUCUAUCCAAAAAAGAAAAAAAAAUCAACUAAAACUACAACUAAAUGUCAAUGCUUCUCCCAUCAAGGUCAUACUUCACAUGAUUCAGUUCACAGUUGUAAACAAAAAUUAAAAUCUAAAUAAACAACAGAAAUCAAUGAAAAUUAUGAAAAUGAGCAAUCAAGAAAAUAAGUAAAUGCACUCAAAAAAGCUUGCUCAGUGACCAUCUAUAAACGAUACUCAACUGGCAAUAUCAAGAGUCCUUGAUAAACAAGAGAGAGGCACGAAAUACAACGAUUAACUAAAGAGAGGAAAACCGUAAUUCAAAUGGAUCCACAAAAAGAUAAAUAAAUCAUCAGUAAGAUUACAAAAUGUACAACCACAACCAAUGACAUUCAGAUAUACUAAGGAAAUGACCGAGAUAAGCAACAAAGAACUAUACAGAAGCCCUAACCACCGUUUGACGGCUGAGAGAGCGAAAAAAAUAAACAUUAAAAAAGAAAAGAGACAGCGAAACAUACAGUAAAUCCUAGCCAACGUUUGAAGGGAGAGAAAACGGAUAGAAUAAAAGAAAAGAAAAGAAAAUUCACCACUCUAACAUCGUUUAUACACUCGGGAGUGGCAGUUUUUGCACACAGCCAUAAAAAAUCUGAUUUAAAAACCUAAAAAAAAAAAAUCUUUUCCACGAUAUUCUCAGCAACCAAACAGCGAAGUUUUUUAGGCUACGUAGACUGGCGGUUUCCCCGAACAGCCCAUAAAAUCCAAUUUUAAAUAACCACAUAUUUUAUAAAAAAAAAUAUCCUCCAUUUUCUCAUCCACAAACGGAUCGCAACAAAACCAAUCCCAUAACCAGCUCGAAACACAGAUCUCAAACCUGAUAACAAAUGAGAGGAGUGAUCGGGUUCGACUCGACUCCGAACUUCAAACCCUAAGCCAAACGGGACCUGCUAAGAUGAAGAGAGUUAGGGUUACGAAAUAUCGAGAAAGAGGAAGAAAUUAUACGAAGAGAGACCAGUUAUGAAGAUAAGUGAAAACCUAGGGAGGAUUCUUCUAGAAAGAAGCGAGAGAGAG
rnacentral:lncRNA from 1 species